rnacentral:rRNA from 1 species
GAUGAACGCUGGCUACAGGCUUAACACAUGCAAGUCGAGGGGAAACGGCAUUGGGUGCUUGCACUGAAUGGACGUCGACCGGCGCACGGGUGAGUAACGCGUAUCCAACCUUCCCGUUACUGCGGGAUAACCUGCCGAAAGGCAGACUAAUACCGCAUGUUCUUCGAUGACGGCAUCAGAUUCGAAGCAAAGAUUCUUCGGUAACGGAGGGGGAUGCGUCUGAUUAGCUGGUUGGCGGGGCGACGGCCCACCAAGGCGACGAUCAGUAGGGGUUCUGAGAGGAAGGUCCCCCACAUUGGAACUGAGACACGGUCCAAACUCCUACGGGAGGCAGCAGUGAGGAAUAUUGGUCAAUGGGCGGAAGCCUGAACCAGCCAAGUAGCGUGCAGGAGGACGGCCCUACGGGUUGUAAACUGCUUUUAUGCGGGGAUAAAGUGAGGGACGCGUCCCUUUUUGCAGGUACCGCAUGAAUAAGGACCGGCUAAUUCCGUGCCAGCAGCCGCGGUAAUACGGAAGGUCCGGGCGUUAUCCGGAUUUAUUGGGUUUAAAGGGAGCGUAGGCCGGGGAUUAAGUGUGUUGUGAAAUGUAGGCGCCCAACGUCUGACUUGCAGCGCAUACUGGUUCCCUUGAGUACGCGCAACGCCGGCGGAAUUCGUCGUGUAGCGGUGAAAUGCUUAGAUAUGACGAAGAACCCCGAUUGCGAAGGCAGCCGGCGGGAGCGCAACUGACGCUGAAGCUCGAAGGUGUGGGUAUCGAACAGG